GUAAAAAUUGCUCCCAUUAUAAAAGCUCGACCAGAAUUUUCUAGCUUUUCUAAUUCUUAUUGAGCCAUCCUCAAAUACUGGAGGAGCUGAAAUAGGAAGAAAUAAAGAAAAAAAAAUGAGCUCAUUACUGCAAUGCUUCUGACUUAAGGUCUGGCCCAUGAAUGGAAUACAUGGCAAGGAGGAAUACGUUUGGAAUUUCACCCCAGUGAAACAGAGAGAACUGCUUGAAGAAUCCCUUUUUGAAAAAGAAUUCCUGGGGCUCGUAUGAAAAUGCUGGAAGAAGGAUUAUCACUAGCAUUGCUGUUCCUGUUGUAACUAUAAUAGAUUUUUUGUAUUUUUUGAGGGUGAAAAAUGAGGUUUGAUUUUAAAGGUACUUAAAGAGGUUGACUCUUAGUACCGACUUACUCUAUGAAGGAAGAAAAGAGAAACGAGUUUAUGAAACUCCCACAGGGCACUUACCUGCCAUUAGAAACUUUCUCCAUGGAAACCAGAAACAUGAAAAGAAACUAUAUGGAAAAGGGAGUGCAUAAUUAUAAUUUUGAAAUACACCAGUGUUUUAAUAAAACUAUUCUUCUUUUUUUCCCCAUCAUGUAGAGUAGAG
ensembl:lncRNA